rnacentral:rRNA from 1 species
CAGCCCUAAACGAUGCGCGUUAGGUGUAUCGGUGACCACGAGUCACCGAGGUGCCGAAGGGAAACCGUGAAACGUGCCGCCUGGGAAGUACGGUCGCAAGGCUGAAACUUAAAGGAAUUGGCGGGGGAGCACAACAACGGGUGGAGCUUGCGGUUUAAUUGGAUUCAACGCCGGAAAUCUUACCGGGACCGACAGCAACAUGAAGGCCAAGCUGAAGACUUUGCCGGAUUAGCUGAGAGGAGGUGCAUGGCGUAGUCGUGU